UCAGAGAGUUUGAUCCUGGCUCAGGAUGAACGCUGGCGGUGUGCCUAACACAUGCAAGUCGAGCGAUCUUCUUCGGAAGAGAGCGGCGGACGGGUGAGUAACGCGUGGGUAACCUGCCUCAUACACAUGGAUAACAUACCGAAAGGUAUGUUAAUACGAGAUGAUAUAAGAGAUUCGCAUGGAUUUCUUAUCAAAGCUUUUGCGGUAUGAGAUGGACCCGCGUCUGAUUAGCUAGUUGGUAAGGUAAUGGCUUACCAAGGCGACGAUCAGUAGCCGACCUGAGAGGGUGAUCGGCCACAUUGGAACUGAGACACGGUCCAAACUCCUACGGGAGGCAGCAGUGGGGAAUAUUGCACAAUGGGCGAAAGCCUGAUGCAGCAACGCCACGUGAGCGAUGAAGGCCUUCGGGUCGUAAAGCUCUGUCCUCAAGGAAGAUAAUGACGGUACUUGAGGAGGAAGCCCCGGCUAACUACGUG
rnacentral:rRNA from 1 species